AUAGAUAAAGAAAGAAAGACUCUACCAAAGGUUAUAUGACUAAGACCAAUGUGAAAAUAUCUUGGAAAAACAAGGUCUUGUAGGGCUAGGUCUAAACCAGAAUUUAUAGAAAAAUUAAAAGAUUCCCUAGGUGUAGCUAAAAGUGCAUUAUCUUUUUUAUUAAAAGAUAGGACCUCAGCUAUAGAAAAGGGUUGGUUUUGACCUAUUGCAAUCAACUCCAGACACAGAUCAUAAUUAGGGGCAGGACGUGUUGACUCCCAUGGUCUAUGGC
rnacentral:lncRNA from 1 species